rnacentral:rRNA from 1 species
GAUGAACGCUGGCGGCGUGCCUAAUACAUGCAAGUCGAGCGAACAGACGAGGAGCUUGCUCCUUCGACGUUAGCGGCGGACGGGUGAGUAACACGUAGGUAACCUACCUAUAAGACUGGGAUAACUUCGGGAAACCGGAUCUAAUACCGGAUAAUAUUUCGAACCGCAUGGUUCGAUAGUGAAAGAUGGCUUUGCUAUCACUUAUAGAUGGACCUGCGCCGUAUUAGCUAGUUGGUAAGGUAACGGCUUACCAAGGCAACGAUACGUAGCCGACCUGAGAGGGUGAUCGGCCACACUGGAACUGAGACACGGUCCAGACUCCUACGGGAGGCAGCAGUAGGGAAUCUUCCGCAAUGGGCGAAAGCCUGACGGAGCAACGCCGCGUGAGUGAUGAAGGUCUUCGGAGCGUAAAACUCUGUUAUUAGGGAAGAACAAACGUGUAAGUAACUGUGCACGUCUUGACGGUACCUAAUCAGAAAGCCACGGCUAACUACGUG